GGAGAGAUGGCCGAGUGGUCGAAGGCGGGCGCCUUGAAAGCGUCUGAGGGGAAACUCUCCGGGGGUUCGAAUCCCUCUCUCUCCG
rnacentral:tRNA from 1 species